CCUACGGGAGGCAGCAGUGAGGAAUAUUGGUCAAUGGGCGAGAGCCUGAACCAGCCAAGUCGCGUGAGGGAGUACUGCCCUAUGGGUUGUAAACCUCUUUUGUCGGGGAGCAAAAGCCGGACGUGUCCGGCUGUGAGAGUACCCGAAGAAAAAGCAUCGGCUAACUCCGUGCCAGCAGCCGCGGUAAUACGGAGGAUGCGAGCGUUAUCCGGAUUUAUUGGGGUUAAAGGGUGCGCAGGCGGAUUUUUAAGUCAGCGGUCAAAUCGUGGGGCUCAACCCCAUCCAGCCGUUGAAACUGGGGAUCUAGAGUGUGCGAGAGGUAUGCGGAAUGCGUGGUGUAGCGGUGAAAUGCAUAGAUAUCACGCAGAACCCCGAUUGCAAAGGCAGCAUACCGGUGCACAACUGACGCUCAGGCACGAAAGCGUGGGUAUCGAACAGGAUUAGAUACCCCGGUAGUC
rnacentral:rRNA from 1 species